rnacentral:rRNA from 1 species
CCUACGGGCGUCAGCAGUGGGGGAUAUUGCACAAUGGGGGGAACCCUGAUGCAGCGACGCCGCGGGGGUGAAGGAGUGCUUCGGCAUGUAAAGCCCUAUCGGCAGGGAAGAAGCAAGACGGUACCUGACUAAGAAGCCCCGGCUAACUACGUGCCAGCAGCCGCGGUAAUACGUAGGGGGCAAGCGUUAGCCGGAUUUACGGGGUGUAAAGGGAGCGUAGACGGUUAUGUAAGUAUGGAGUGAAAGCCCGGGGCCCAACCCCGGGACUGCUUUGGAAACUGUGUAACUGGAGUACAGGAGGGGCAGGCGGAAUUCCUGGUGUAGCGGUGAAAUGCGUAGAUAUCAGGAGGAACACCGGCGGCGAAGGCGGCCUGCUGGACUGAAACUGACGUUGAGGCUCGAAAGCGUGGGGAGCAAACAGGAUUAGAUACCCCGGUAGUC